rfam:Salmo salar isolate Sally breed double haploid chromosome ssa26, whole genome shotgun sequence.
UGGCUCAGUUGGUAGAGCAUGGUAUUUGCAAUGCCAGGGUUGUGGGUUCGAUUCCCAC